GACGAACGCUGGCGGCGUGCUUAACACAUGCAAGUCGAACGGGAUUUAGUAAACAGAAGCCUCGGUGGAAGAUUACUAAUGAGAGUGGCGAACGGGUGAGUAACGCGUGAGCAACCUGCCUAUGACAGUGGGAUAGCCUCGGGAAACCGGGAUUAAUACCGCAUAAAAUCGUAGAAACACAUGUUUUAACGGUCAAAGAUUUAUCGGUCAUAGAUGGGCUCGCGUCUGAUUAGCUAGUUGGUGAGAUAACAGCCCACCAAGGCGACGAUCAGUAGCCGGUCUGAGAGGAUGAACGGCCACAUUGGAACUGAGGCACGGUCCAAACUCCUACGGGAAGCAGCAGUGGGGAAUAUUGCACAAUGGGGGAAACCCUGAUGCAGCGACGCCGCGUGAACGAAGAAGGUAUUCAUAUCGUAAAGUUCUGUCCUAUGGGAAGAUAAUGACAGUACCAUAGAAGAAAGCUCCGGCUAAAUACGUG
rnacentral:rRNA from 1 species